rnacentral:rRNA from 1 species
CCUACGGGAGGCAGCAGUGGGGAAUAUUGCGCAAUGGGCGAAAGCCUGACGCAGCGACGCCGCGUGAGGGAUGAAGGUCUUAGGAUCGUAAACCUUUGUCAGCAGGGAAGAACGGUCACUGUGCUAAUCAGCAGUGAAUUGACGGUACCUGCAAAGGAAGCACCGGCUAACGCCGUGCCAGCAGCCGCGGUAAUACGGAGGGUGCGAGAGUUAAUCGGAAUUACUGGGCGUAAAGCGCUCGUAGGCGGUACGUCAAGUCAAGGGUGAAAGUCCCGCGCUCAACGUGUGAACUGCCUUUGAAACUGGCAAACUUGAGUGUGUGAGAGGUAAGGGGAAUUCCAGGGGUAGGGGUGAAAUCCGUAGAUAUCAGGAGGAACAUCAGUGGCGAAGGCGACUAUCUGGCACAUAACUGACGCUGAGGAGCGAAAGCGUGGGUAGCAAACAGGAUUAGAUACCCGGGUAGUC